rnacentral:rRNA from 1 species
AGAAUCAACGCUGGCGGCGUGCCUAACACAUGCAAGUCGAACGAGAAAGUGGAGCAAUCCAUGAGUAAAGUGGUGACCGGGUGAGUAACACGUGACUAACCUACCUUCAAGUGGGGGAUAACCUCGGGAAACCGGGGCUAAUACCGCAUAACAUCUUUGGAGUGGAAAUUCUGGAGAUCAAAGGAGCAAUUCGCUGGAAGAGGGGGUCGCGGCUGAUUAGCUAGUUGGCGGGGUAAUGGCCCACCAAGGCUUUGAUCGGUAGCCGGCCUGAGAGGGCGCGACGGCCGACGACUGGAACUGAAACACGGUCCAGACUCCUACGGGAGGCAGCAGUGGGGAAUUUUGCGCAAUGGGGGAAACCCUGACGCAGCAACGCCGCGUGGAGGAUGAAGUCCUUCGGGACGUAAACUCCUUUCGAUCGGGACGAUAAUGACGGUACCGAGAGAAGAAGCCCGGCUAACUUCGUGCCAGCAGCCGC